AUCUGUUUCUCUCCUCCAUUCCUCCUUUCUCAGUUCAGCUCAAACAUGACCUCGACUCUACCUUCAGCAUCCUCCUUCAAGGUCCCUGUCGACACCACCAAAGCCCACAACAAACCCCUCAGUGAAUUCCCAAGAUCGAUGGCCUGCACCUCCCCUCGCCGUCAAUCGUCCUGUAGACGGCUGCAAGCCAAGUCCUUGAGCCAGAGCCACCCGCACGAAGCAACCUUCGAGCGGGCGACCGAUCGAUGCCUCGAACGCCUCCACAGGCUGCAAGACGGCGGCCAUAAUAGAGGAGCAACGACAAGGGUACCCGUCUAUGUGAUGCUUCCCCUCGACACAGUCUCGCCAAAAGGGGGCGGGCUGACCCGUGCACGUGCACUGAAUGCUAGUCUUAUGGCACUGAGGAGCGCUGGAGUGGAAGGGGUGAUGGUGGAUGUUUGGUGGGGGCUGGUGGAGAAGGACGGCCCCCUCCGGUACAACUGGGACUCGUAUGCCGAGCUGGUGAAGAUGGUGGCCAGGCACGGGCUCAAACUCCAGAUGGUCAUGUCCUUCCAUCAGUGCGGCGGGAACGUCGGUGACUCUUGCAGCAUACCACUACCCCCAUGGGUUCAAGAAGAAAUGAGCAGGGACCCGGACAUCGUGUACAGAGACCGGUCAGGCAGGCGGAAUCCGGAAUAUAUAUCUCUAGGCUGUGACAUGCUGCCAGUUCUAAGGGGCAGGACUCCGAUCCAGGUCUACACCGACUACAUGAGAAGCUUCCGUGAUCAUUUCCAAGAGUACCUCGGAGAUGUCAUCGAGGAAAUACAGGUGGGGAUGGGUCCUUGCGGAGAGUUGAGAUACCCAUCAUACCCUGAGAGCAACGGAACUUGGCGGUUCCCUGGAAUUGGAGAAUUUCAGUGCUAUGACAAGUACAUGAAAGCAUCUUUGCAAGCGACUGCAAUCGCUGUUGGGCAUGAGAACUGGGGUGUAAGUGGGCCGCAUGAUUCAGGACACUACAACCAAUUCCCCGAGGACACCGGUUUCUUCAGAAGAGAAGGGACAUGGAAUUCAGAGUAUGGGAAGUUUUUCCUGGAAUGGUACUCAGGGAAGCUGCUACAGCACGGAGACCGAAUCCUAGCAGCUGCUGAGGGGAUAUUUCAAGAUACCUGUGCGAAGCUAUCAGGGAAGGUUGCAGGGAUUCACUGGCACUACAGGACCCGAUCUCACGCAGCAGAAUUAACAGCUGGAUACUACAAUACCAGGGAGAGAGAUGGAUACAUUCCGAUAGCUCAGACUUUGGCGAAGCAUGGCGUUGUACUCAAUUUCACGUGCAUGGAAAUGAAGGACGAAAGGCAACCGGGUCACGCGAAUUGCUCACCUCAACUGCUUGUCAGGCAAGUCAAGGAAGCCACCAAGGUUGCUGGAGUCGAACUUGCAGGGGAGAAUGCACUGGGGAUAUACGAUGAUUCUGCGUACUCGCUGGUCUUGACAACAAGCAGGGCUGAUGCAGGGAGUGGUUUGAGUGCGUUCACGUAUUUGAGGAUGAACAAGAACAUGUUUGAAGGGGAGAACUGGAGGCAGUUCGUUGCUUUUGUUAAAAGCAUGAAUGAAGGAGGACGACGCAUUAUGCUUUCGAAGAGUGAUUCAAACCAUUCUGACCUUUAUGUGGGGUUUAUUACCAACAGGAAUCAGAAUCUGAAGGCUGGAGCAGCUACAUAAAUAUAUGAGUUAUGCCUUUGAAGAAUGCCGAUUCAAGCCAUUCUGACCUUUACCUGGGGUUUAUUACCAAAAGGGAUCAGAAUCCGAAUGCCGGGGCAGCUGUAUAAAUUUACUUUUCAGGGAUAAUUUUUCAUACUUAGUCCAGAAUCUUUGUAGUUAAUAAAGAUUGAAAGCGGUAAAUGAAUAAAACAGUGCUUUGAGCCAUAGUUGAGUCAGGG
rnacentral:misc_RNA from 1 species